rfam:Ciona savignyi cont_32688, whole genome shotgun sequence.
GUCGUCGUGGCCGAGUGGUUAAGGCGACAGACUAGAAAUCUGUUGGGCUCUGCCCGCGCAGAAUCGAAUCCUGUCGGCGACG